ensembl:snRNA U6 U6 spliceosomal RNA
GUGCUCACUUCAGCAGCACAUAUACUAAAAUUGGAAUGAUACAGAGAAGAUUAACAUGGCCCCUGUGCAACUACGACAUGCAAUUUCAUGAAGCAUUCCAUAUUUUU